rnacentral:sRNA from 1 species
UAAUUUGGUCGAUCCACCGCAUUGGUGGCC